rnacentral:rRNA from 1 species
UAGGGAAUCUUCCACAAUGGACGAAAGUCUGAUGGAGCAACGCCGCGUGAGUGAAGAAGGUUUUCGGAUCGUAAAGCUCUGUUGUUGGUGAAGAAGGAUAGAGGCAGUAACUGGUCUUUAUUUGACGGUAUCAACCAGAAAGUCACGGCUAACUACGUGCCAC